rnacentral:rRNA from 1 species
UGCCUGUUUAUCAAAAACAUGUCCUUAAGUUUAUUUUUAAGGUCUGGUCUGCUCAGUGAUUUUUAAAUAGCCGCGGUAUUUUAACUGUGCUAAGGUAGCAUAAUAAUUAGUCUUUUAAUUGAGGUCUGGAAUGAAUGGUUGGACGAAAAAUUUUCUUUAUUAAUUAAAUUUUUUUUGAAUUUUAUAUUUUGGUUAAAAAUCCAAAAUUUUUGAGAGGGACGAUAAGACCCUAUAGAUCUUUAAAAUUUCUUUUAUUUUUUUUAUUUAGUUGGUUUUAAGAAAAUAUUUGAUUUUUUUUUGUUGGGGUGAUAACUAAAAUUUUUAACUUUAGUUAAUAUUUACUUUUAUUUAUGGAAAUUUGAUCUUUAAUUUUUGAUUUUAAGAUUAAGAUACCUUAGGGAUAACAGCGUUAUAAAACUGGAGAGUUCUAAUCGAUAGUUUUGUUUGCGACCUCGAUGUUGGAUUAAAAUUUUAUUGUGGGGUAGGUUUUACAAUUUUAGGUCUGUUCGACCUUUAAAAUUUUACAUGAUCUGAGUUCAAACCGGG